CUACGGGCGGCACCAGUGGGGAAUAUUGGACAAUGGGGGAAACCCUGAUCCAGCAAUGCCGCGUGUGCGAAGAAGGCCUGCGGGUUGUAAAGCACUUUCGGUUGGGAGGACUGCUUCUAGCUCUAAUAUUGUUGGAAGUUGACGUUACCUUCAGAAGAAGCACCGGCUAACUCCGUGCCAGCAGCCGCGGUAGAUACGGAGGGUGCAAGCGUUAAUCGGAAUUACUGGGCGUAAAGCGCGCGUAGGCGGCUAGAUCAGUCGGGUGUGAAAGCCCCGGGCUUAACCUGGGAACUGCAUCCGAUACUGUCUAGCUUGAGUACAGGAGAGGAGAGUGGAAUUCCACAUGUAGCGGUGAAAUGCGUAGAUAUGUGGAGGAACACCAAUGGCGAAGGCAGCUCUCUGGCCUGAUACUGACGCUGAGGUGCGAAAGCGUGGGGAGCAAACAGGAUUAGAUACCCGAGUAGUC
rnacentral:rRNA from 1 species